AGCAGCCGCCGCGGGAAUACGGAGGGUGCGAGCGUUAAUCGGAAUAACUGGGCGUAAAGGGCACGCAGGCGGGCUUUUAAGUGAGGUGUGAAAUCUCCGGGCUUAACCUGGGAAUUGCAUUUCAGACUGGGAGUCUAGAGUACUUUAGGGAGGGGUAGAAUUCCACGUGUAGCGGUGAAAUGCGUAGAGAUGUGGAGGAAUACCGAAGGCGAAGGCAGCCCCUUGGGAAUGUACUGACGCUCAUGUGCGAAAGCGUGGGGAGCAAACAGGAUUAGAUACCCCAGUAGUCCCUGUCUCUUAUAC
rnacentral:rRNA from 1 species